rnacentral:rRNA from 2 species
GGGUUGUGAGGUUAAGCGACUAAGCGUACACGGUGGAUGCCCUGGCAGUCAGAGGCGAUGAAGGACGUGCUAAUCUGCGAUAAGCGUCGGUAAGGUGAUAUGAACCGUUAUAACCGGCGAUUUCCGAAUGGGGAAACCCAGUGUGUUUCGACACACUAUCAUUAACUGAAUCCAUAGGUUAAUGAGGCGAACCGGGGGAACUGAAACAUCUAAGUACCCCGAGGAAAAGAAAUCAACCGAGAUUCCCCCAGUAGCGGCGAGCGAACGGGGAGGAGCCCAGAGCCUGAAUCAGUGUGUGUGUUAGUGGAAGCGUCUGGAAAGGCGCGCGAUACAGGGUGACAGCCCCGUACACAAAAAUGCACAUGCUGUGAGCUCGAUGAGUAGGGCGGGACACGUGGUAUCCUGUCUGAAUAUGGGGGGACCAUCCUCCAAGGCUAAAUACUCCUGACUGACCGAUAGUGAACCAGUACCGUGAGGGAAAGGCGAAAAGAACCCCGGCGAGGGGAGUGAAAAAGAACCUGAAACCGUGUACGUACAAGCAGUGGGAGCCUCUUUAUGGGGUGACUGCGUACCUUUUGUAUAAUGGGUCAGCGACUUAUAUUCUGUAGCAAGGUUAACCGAAUAGGGGAGCCGAAGGGAAACCGAGUCUUAACUGGGCGUUAAGUUGCAGGGUAUAGACCCGAAACCCGGUGAUCUAGCCAUGGGCAGGUUGAAGGUUGGGUAACACUAACUGGAGGACCGAACCGACUAAUGUUGAAAAAUUAGCGGAUGACUUGUGGCUGGGGGUGAAAGGCCAAUCAAACCGGGAGAUAGCUGGUUCUCCCCGAAAGCUAUUUAGGUAGCGCCUCGUGAAUUCAUCUCCGGGGGUAGAGCACUGUUUCGGCAAGGGGGUCAUCCCGACUUACCAACCCGAUGCAAACUGCGAAUACCGGAGAAUGUUAUCACGGGAGACACACGGCGGGUGCUAACGUCCGUCGUGAAGAGGGAAACAACCCAGACCGCCAGCUAAGGUCCCAAAGUCAUGGUUAAGUGGGAAACGAUGUGGGAAGGCCCAGACAGCCAGGAUGUUGGCUUAGAAGCAGCCAUCAUUUAAAGAAAGCGUAAUAGCUCACUGGUCGAGUCGGCCUGCGCGGAAGAUGUAACGGGGCUAAACCAUGCACCGAAGCUGCGGCAGCGACACUAUGUGUUGUUGGGUAGGGGAGCGUUCUGUAAGCCUGUGAAGGUGUACUGUGAGGUAUGCUGGAGGUAUCAGAAGUGCGAAUGCUGACAUAAGUAACGAUAAAGCGGGUGAAAAGCCCGCUCGCCGGAAGACCAAGGGUUCCUGUCCAACGUUAAUCGGGGCAGGGUGAGUCGACCCCUAAGGCGAGGCCGAAAGGCGUAGUCGAUGGGAAACAGGUUAAUAUUCCUGUACUUGGUGUUACUGCGAAGGGGGGACGGAGAAGGCUAUGUUGGCCGGGCGACGGUUGUCCCGGUUUAAGCGUGUAGGCUGGUUUUCCAGGCAAAUCCGGAAAAUCAAGGCUGAGGCGUGAUGACGAGGCACUACGGUGCUGAAGCAACAAAUGCCCUGCUUCCAGGAAAAGCCUCUAAGCAUCAGGUAACAUCAAAUCGUACCCCAAACCGACACAGGUGGUCAGGUAGAGAAUACCAAGGCGCUUGAGAGAACUCGGGUGAAGGAACUAGGCAAAAUGGUGCCGUAACUUCGGGAGAAGGCACGCUGAUAUGUAGGUGAAGCGACUUGCUCGUGGAGCUGAAAUCAGUCGAAGAUACCAGCUGGCUGCAACUGUUUAUUAAAAACACAGCACUGUGCAAACACGAAAGUGGACGUAUACGGUGUGACGCCUGCCCGGUGCCGGAAGGUUAAUUGAUGGGGUUAGCGGUAACGCGAAGCUCUUGAUCGAAGCCCCGGUAAACGGCGGCCGUAACUAUAACGGUCCUAAGGUAGCGAAAUUCCUUGUCGGGUAAGUUCCGACCUGCACGAAUGGCGUAAUGAUGGCCAGGCUGUCUCCACCCGAGACUCAGUGAAAUUGAACUCGCUGUGAAGAUGCAGUGUACCCGCGGCAAGACGGAAAGACCCCGUGAACCUUUACUAUAGCUUGACACUGAACAUUGAGCCUUGAUGUGUAGGAUAGGUGGGAGGCUUUGAAGUGUGGACGCCAGUCUGCAUGGAGCCGGCCUUGAAAUACCACCCUUUAAUGUUUGAUGUUCUAACGUUGGCCCCUGAUCGGGGUUGCGGACAGUGUCUGGUGGGUAGUUUGACUGGGGCGGUCUCCUCCUAAAGAGUAACGGAGGAGCACGAAGGUUGGCUAAUCCUGGUCGGACAUCAGGAGGUUAGUGCAAUGGCAUAAGCCAGCUUGACUGCGAGCGUGACGGCGCGAGCAGGUGCGAAAGCAGGUCAUAGUGAUCCGGUGGUUCUGAAUGGAAGGGCCAUCGCUCAACGGAUAAAAGGUACUCCGGGGAUAACAGGCUGAUACCGCCCAAGAGUUCAUAUCGACGGCGGUGUUUGGCACCUCGAUGUCGGCUCAUCACAUCCUGGGGCUGAAGUAGGUCCCAAGGGUAUGGCUGUUCGCCAUUUAAAGUGGUACGCGAGCUGGGUUUAGAACGUCGUGAGACAGUUCGGUCCCUAUCUGCCGUGGGCGCUGGAGAACUGAGGGGGGCUGCUCCUAGUACGAGAGGACCGGAGUGGACGCAUCACUGGUGUUCGGGUUGUCAUGCCAAUGGCACUGCCCGGUAGCUAAAUGCGGAAGAGAUAAGUGCUGAAAGCAUCUAAGCACGAAACUUGCCCCGAGAUGAGUUCUCCCUGAGACUUAGAGUCUCCUGAAGGAACGUUGAAGACGACGACGUUGAUAGGCCGGGUGUGUAAGCGCAGCGAUGCGUUGAGCUAACCGGUACUAAUGAACCGUGAGGCUUAACCUUACAACGCCGAAG